rnacentral:tRNA from 1 species
GAAAUAUAACUCAGUUUGGUAGAGUAAUAGCUUUAUGCGUGGGUUCGAUUCCCACUCUCAUUUCG